GCAUCUUGUAUCUUUUAAAAGACCUAGUUAAUAGGUAUGCUUUAGGAGGGGCUUGCGCCAUAUUAGUUAGUUGGUAGGGUAAUGGCCUACCAAGACGAUGAUGUGUAGCUGGACUGAGAGGUUGAACAGCCACAUUGGGACUGAGACACGGCCCAAACUCCUACGGGAGGCAGCAGUAGGGAAUUUUCGGCAAUGGAGGAAACUCUGACCGAGCAACGCCGCGUGAAUGACGAAGUACUUCGGUAUGUAAAGUUCUUUUAUCGAGGAAGAAAAGCAAAUGGCGAACCAUUUGUUUGCCGGUACUUGAUGAAUAAGCCCCGGCUAAUUAUGUGCCAGCAGCCGCGGUAAGACAUAAGGGGCAAGUGUUAUCCGGAAUUAUUGGGCGUAAAGGGUGCGUAGGCGGUCUAGUAAGUCAGUGGUGUAAUGUCAACGCUUAACGUUGUCCGGCUAUUGAAACUGCUAAACUUGAGUUAGAUAGAGGCGAGUGGAAUUCCAUGUGUAGCGGUAAAAUGCGUAAAUAUAUGGAGGAACACCAGAGGCGUAGGCGGCUCGCUGGGUCUUAACUGACGCUGAGGCACGAAAGCGUGGGGAGCAAACAGGAUUAGAUACCCUGGUAGUCCACGCCGUAAACGAUGAGUACUAAGUGUCGGGUUAAACCGGUACUGAAGUUAACACAUUAAGUACUCCGCCUGAGUAGUACGUACGCAAGUAUGAAACUUAAAGGAAUUGACGGGACUCCGCACAAGCGGUGGAUCAUGUUGUUUAAUUCGAAGAUACCCGAAAAACCUUACCAGGUCUUGACAUGUUUUUGCAAAAUGAUAGUAAUAUCGUGGAGGUUACCAGAAACACAGGUGGUGCAUGGUUGUCGUCAGCUCGUGUCGUGAGAUGUUAGGUUAAGUCCUAAAACGAGCGAAACCCUUAUCGUUAGUUGCCAGCACGUUAUGGUGGGGACUUUAACGAGACUGCCAAUGAUAAAUUGGAGGAAGGUGAGGAUCACGUCAAAUCAGCAUGCCCCUUAUGACCUGGGCUACAAACGUGAUACAAUGGCUGUUACAAAGGGUAGCUGAAACGCAAGUUCUUGGCCAAUCCCCAAAAACAGUCCCAGUCCGGAUUGAAGUCUGCAACUCGACUUCAUGAAGUUGGAAUCGCUAGUAAUCGCGAAUCAGCAUGUCGCGGUGAAUACGUUCUCGGGGUUUGUACACACC
rnacentral:rRNA from 1 species